rnacentral:miRNA from 1 species
CAGAGUUCCUCGAUGCCGUUUC